CCUACGGGUGGCAGCAGUGAGGAAUAUUGGUCAAUGGGCGAGAGCCUGAACCAGCCAAGUAGCGUGCAGGAUGACGGCCCUACGGGUUGUAAACUUCUUUUGUCCGGGAAUAACUCGCCUUACGUGUCGGGCUUUGCAUGUUCCCUGUGGAUAAAGCCCGGCUUAAUCCGUUCCCACCACCGCCGUAAUACGGAAGGUCCGGGCGGUGUACUGAUUUUUUGGGUUUAAAGGGAGCGUAGGCCGAAUUUCCAAAGUGCUGUGAAAUGUCCGGGCUACACCCUGGUCUUGCAGCGGGAACUGGUGUGCUUGAGGACGCGGAAAGCAGGCGGAAUGCGUAGUGUAGCGGUGAAAUGCUUAGAUAUGACGAAGAACUCCGAUUGCGAAGGCAGCUUGCUGAAGCGGAACUGACGCUGAUGCUCGAAAGCGUGGGUAUCGAACAGGAUUAGAUACCCGUGUAGUC
rnacentral:rRNA from 1 species